AGAGUUUGAUCCUGGCUGAGAGUGAACGCUGGCGGCGUGCUUAACACAUGCAAGUCGAACGAGAACGGGUUAAAGCUUGCUUUAACUGUCAGCUAAGUGGCGCACGGGUGAGUAAUAUAUAGGUAACGUGCCUUCAAGAAGGGGAUAACAAUUGGAAACGAUUGCUAAUACCCUAUAUGCCUUUAAGUCUUAAGACUGCAAGGGAAAUAUUUAUAGCUUGAAGAUCGGCCUGUACAGUAUCAGUUAGUUGGUGAGGUAAUGGCUCACCAAGACAAUGACGCUUAACUGGUUUGAGAGGAUGAUCAGUCACACUGGAACUGAGACACGGUCCAGACUCCUACGGGAGGCAGCAGUGGGGAAUAUUGCACAAUGGACGAAAGUCUGAUGCAGCAACGCCGCGUGGAGGAUGACACAUUUCGGUGCGUAAACUCCUUUUAUAUAGGAAGAUAAUGACGGUACUAUAUGAAUAAGCACCGGCUAACUCCGUGCCAGCAGCCGCGGUAAUACGGAGGGUGCAAGCGUUACUCGGAAUCACUGGGCGUAAAGAGAAUGUAGGCGGGUAGAUAAGUUUGAAGUGAAAUCCAAUGGCUCAACCAUUGAACUGCUUUGAAAACUGUUUACCUAGAAUAUGGGAGAGGUAGAUGGAAUUUCUGGUGUAGGGGUAAAAUCCGUAG
rnacentral:rRNA from 1 species